AAGGCUGCAGGAGGCUCCCAAAGGAGAAAGAGUUGGCACCAUGUCCUUUUCUUCAAUCCAUGAGGGAGGGACGCACUCAAUUAUUGAUGGUGUUGUCCACAAUGUGCCUAAGAUUAGACAGAGAAAAGUGUGCAAUAUACUACUAAACACUAUCCUAACAUGUCCCAGCUCUUCAAGUAUGUUCCUUAAACCAUUAAGACAGAAUUAACUGGAUCUGAGCAGCUUCUUUCUCUUCUCAGGUGGAAAAUGUCACAGUUUCUAUCAGGGAAAACAGCAUGUGUGGCUUUCCAUGGACUGAUGAAUCUAGGAAUCUCCAGAGCAUAGAAGUUGAUAUAUAUAUAUAUCUUGCCCAAACUUCCUGCAGUCUUAGAAGUGGACCUGAGAUGUGGCUAGCGACCAAGUUCCAGUGCCGGCAGUUCUUGACACCUUACCGCAAACCUCACAAGAGUUCAUCUUUUGUCUUAACUGAGAAUUAAUUCAACAUUCAUUUAAAAUGCUUUAAAGGUCUCUGAGCUCUGGGAUGAUGAAGGACUAAAGAAAUGUGGGCAUCCUGAGAGCUGAGGAGCAUGAUGCAAAUAAACUUCACAAAGGCAUUAAUGACUA